UGGUGGGGGUGGGGGUGAAUGAUGUGGCGGUGGAGGUGACUGAUGUGGUGGUGGAGGGGAGUUAUAGUAGUAAGGAACUGGUGGCGGCGGGGAGAACAAUGGAGGGGGUGGAGGUGGUGAAUUUGGUGGUGGAGGUGGGGACCUCACACAAUAUAUUGGCGCAGGUGGUGGGGGUGAAGGGGGCGGUGGUGACGGAUAAGUAGGUGGCGGGGGUGAAGGUGGUGGAGGUGAUGGAUAUGUAGGGGGUGGGGGUGAAGGAGGUGGUGGUGAGGGCGGUGGAGGUGAUGGUGGUGGAGGAGGUGGAG
rnacentral:lncRNA from 1 species